AGCGGAGUGGAGCAGUUUUGGUAGCUCAUCGGGCUCAUAACCCGAAGGUCGUUGGUUCAACUCCAACCUCCGCAACUA
rnacentral:tRNA from 1 species